AGCCGAAACAGCGGACAAGCUCCGCUGUCUGCCGGGGAUGGUCUCCCGGCACUGAUGAUGGCAGACCGCA
rnacentral:hammerhead_ribozyme from 1 species